rnacentral:misc_RNA from 1 species
UUUUUCACGCCGGCGGAUAUUUUUUCGCCUGGUUGGUGAAACUCGUCGGCUGGUUUUUGACAGAAAAAUUGCGCCGGGCUGCUAUUUUUCUGUUGGUAAAACUGGCCUCUGCACUUCCGAUUGCUAAUAUUGAAGGAGAGGGAAAGUGGCCCAGAACUUGGCGGCGGACGGCGGCGGAUGGCGGCGGCGGCGGCGGCGGCGGCGGCGGCGGCGAGCAUUCUGUCCGCAGACACGACGCAGAGAGGCUGUGCUAGGAGACGCGGACAGAUCCAGUAGACGGGGGAGAGUGCAGAGCUGGCGGACAGGCGUUCGUUCCAACCACGCGUCGAGCGAGAGAGCGAUACAGUGACACCGAGACAGCGACUACGGCGUACGGAGAGACAGGACAGGACAGGAAGGAGUAGAGAGGACUCGAGGGACAGCCGUCGAGACUUGUUCUCCGCGGCGCAGUUGUAUUCCCCGGUUCGCUGCCUUAGUUUCUGGUUGCGGAGGAAGGAUUUAAGGCAGGUGAACUGCCUCGCUAUCUCCUGGAGCUGUGAAUUUCUGCUCUGUUAGUUGUUACCGCUCGGAGAGUCUGAGCGGCCUGUGAUCAGUGGAUUCCUCGGACCAGUCUAUCUACUGUCGGAGGAGCACCUACGGGGUGUCAUUCUGACAUUCCACCAACGCCGCCUUCCUGGAGACAUCUUGUUACUUCUCCCAGCAAGAUGCGCGCAGCUCUGUUCCUGCUGGCUGUGUCAGCCCUGGUACUCGCGGCGGUGGCUGACAGGACCUCAGCGGGGAGCGGCGCCCCUAUCAGACACCGAGGCAGGGCCCUGCUGGGCAGGAGACGCAGCAGUUCGCCGGUGCUGCGCAGGAUGUUUCGCUCGCCGACCGUACAGCGCUGGUACAUCCGGCCGCUCCCGGCAGAUGGCACUGAGAGCGCUCAGCUACCCAACACCAUCAUCCUGAAGCGCGUCUCUGCCACCGAGUCCGGCCCGCUGCUGCUGCCGCUGGCUCACGGCUCAGCUCAGCUCGGCGUGGCUCAGCCCUCGGCUCAGCUCGUGGCUCAGCGGUCAGAUCAGCUCCCUGUGCAGCUGAGUCGUUCCGACACAGCCAGCGCGACACCAGCGCCCCUGGCGGUGAACCGGCAAGGCAGGCGGCCGGCGCAGCGGCCCUGGAGCCUGCUGGCGUCCCGCCGGCGGCAGUCAGGCGCCACCUGGGUGUACCCCUCAGCGGAGCCGUCGCUGGCGCCCGCAGGACACUGGGAGGGGCCCUCCGCCCAGUCGGAUUUCUUCUUCGAGCCGUUUUACGAGCGGUCUGACCGAGCUGCGAGCCGCGCGAGGAAGACCCCGCCCCGCCGACGGGCGCCGGCCGCGCGCAGGUACCAGAAACCCGCCGCGUCUCACUUCGCGCACCACCGCCGGGCGUCCCACUCCGGUCCCCACACCAGCGUCAGUGUGGGUACCUCCGUGCUCUACCCGGGAACGGUGAUCUCUGACGUCAGCCGGAGCACAGAUGACGUCAUUUAUGACGCCGCGGUGGACCCGCAGCAGUCUGCCAGCAGGAUGACGCCUGGCGUGGGAUUCCGACUGCCGCCAAACAGCGUGGAGUACGGGGGAUGGAAGCCGGUGUCGGCGUGAGUCUGAACUCGUGGUGUCGCAUUUAAAUGGGUGGUGAUGUGUUCGAGCUCAGGGUAAAUUCAGUAAACAUUGGACGGGGGGAGGCGAGUGAAUGUCAGAUAUCAGACUUUAUCUGCGAUACGCACCUGUGGAUGACUGUAGUCUCAGUGCAGCAUAUGUUUGAGCCGCCGAUAGCGCGUUAGUUCGCUCGGGCCAGUGAUCUGUCUGAAUUAGCUGUUUUAGGAUAUGCUCAAAGUGCGGCAACUCCAGGUGAAAGCCCGUGAGAUCCAGCCGUGAGUUAGGCGGUGAUGACAGGAAUUUUACACACCUCACGCCCGAGUUAAACCGCUGAACGAUUGACGAUGGCGAGUUGUGUUGUGGGUUUCACAGUGACGCAGCUGAAACGAACAAAAUGGGACGCGCAUUCACGAUUGAUUGACCCGCGUAACACUAACGGUUUGAAGUCAGUUUUGAGAAAGAAAGAGGACAGCUUUUUGUUUUGCUGUUGAUUCUGUCAGAGUCACAAAGUGUUAUCGCUUGUCUGUACAGCACAGCGCUCGUUGCCAAUACAUGUUUUAAACCCCCA